UACAGAGGAGCCAAGCGUUGUCCGGAUUGACUGGGCGUAAAGCGCACGCAGGCGGAUGCGCGCGUGGGGUGUGAAAUCUGGCCGCUUAACGGCCAGGCGCCAUCCCAUACGGCGCGUCUGGAGUGAUGCAGAGGUCGGUGGAAUUGCCGGUGUAGUGGUGAAAUGCGUAGAUAUCGGGAGGAACACCAGUGGCGAAGGCGGCGACCUGGGCCAAUACUGACGCUGAGGUGCGAAAGCGUGGGGAGCAAACAGG
rnacentral:rRNA from 1 species